rnacentral:tRNA from 1 species
CACUAAGAAGCUAUAGGACAGCGACAGCCUUUUAAGCUGUAGACAGGUGAUUCCAACCACCCUUAGUGA